AGAGUUUGAUCCUGGCUCAGGACGAACGCUGGCGGCGCGCCUAACACAUGCAAGUCGAACGAGAGAUGAGGAGCUUGCUCUUCAGAUCGAGUGGCGAACGGGUGAGUAACGCGUGAGGAACCUGCCUCAAAGAGGGGGACAACAGUUGGAAACGACUGCUAAUACCGCAUAAGCCCACGGCUCGGCAUCGAGCAGAGGGAAAAGGAGUGAUCCGCUUUGAGAUGGCCUCGCGUCCGAUUAGCUGGUUGGUGAGGUAACGGCCCACCAAGGCGACGAUCGGUAGCCGGACUGAGAGGUUGAACGGCCACAUUGGGACUGAGACACGGCCCAGACUCCUACGGGAGGCAGCAGUGGGGAAUAUUGCACAAUGGGGGAAACCCUGAUGCAGCGACGCCGCGUGGAGGAAGAAGGUCUUCGGAUUGUAAACUCCUGUUGUUGAGGAAGAUAAUGACGGUACUCAACAAGGAAGUGACGGCUAACUACGUGCCAGCAGCCGCGGUAAAACGUAGGUCACAAGCGUUGUCCGGAAUUACUGGGUGUAAAGGGAGCGCAGGCGGGAGAACAAGUUGGAAGUGAAAUCCAUGGGCUCAACCCAUGAACUGCUUUCAAAACUGUUUUUCUUGAGUAGUGCAGAGGUAGGCGGAAUUCCCGGUGUAGCGGUGGAAUGCGUAGAUAUCGGGAGGAACACCAGUGGCGAAGGCGGCCUACUGGGCACCAACUGACGCUGAGGCUCGAAAGUGUGGGUAGCAAACAGGAUUAGAUACCCUGGUAGUCCACACCGUAAACGAUGAUUACUAGGUGUUGGAGGAUUGACCCCUUCAGUGCCGCAGUUAACACAAUAAGUAAUCCACCUGGGGAGUACGACCGCAAGGUUGAAACUCAAAGGAAUUGACGGGGGCCCGCACAAGCAGUGGAGUAUGUGGUUUAAUUCGACGCAACGCGAAGAACCUUACCAAGUCUUGACAUCCCUUGACGAUGCUGGAAACAGUAUUUCUCUUCGGAGCAAGGAGACAGGUGGUGCAUGGUUGUCGUCAGCUCGUGUCGUGAGAUGUUGGGUUAAGUCC
rnacentral:rRNA from 1 species